rnacentral:rRNA from 1 species
CCUACGGGUGGCAGCAGUGGGGAAUAUUGCACAAUGGGCGAAACCCUGAUGCAGCGACGCCGCGUGAGUGAAGAAGUAUUUCGGUAUGUAAAGCUCUAUUUGCAGGGACGAAAAUGACGGUACCUGACUAAGAAGCCCCGGCUAACUACGUGCCAGCAGCCGCGGUAAUACGUAGGGGGCCAGCGUUAUCCGGAUUUACUGGGUGUAAAGGGCGCGUAGGCGGCUGGGCAAGUCUGUAGUGAAAGUCGGGGGCCCAACCCCCGGACUGCAUUGGAAACUGUAAAGCUGGAGUGCAGGAGAGGUAAGCGGAAUUCCUAGUGUAGCGGUGAAAUGCGUAGAUAUUAGGAGGAACACCAGUGGCGAAGGCGGCUUACUGGACUGCAACUGACGUUGAGGCGCGAAAGCGUGGGGAGCAAACAGGAUUAGAUACCCGGGUAGUC